GAAAAAAUUGAGGAGGAGUUAAGGUAUCUUGAUGGGCAUGUCAUUGCAGCAUCCACUGUCCUCAACAAGUACUUGAAAAUCUCGCUUAUGGAUGAAAUGCGUCUCUUAACUGAAGACAGUGUUGGAUACAUUCGUGGACGCACUCGCCAUAGGAUUUAGGUCCCAACCUCUUAAGUACUAUAAUAAUAUCCUUAAGGGGUAACAAAUAUAUGUAUUGAAUGGAAGGGCUUUAUUAAACCUUCUUAAAUAAAUAUAUUAUUAUGAA